CUAAAGAAGGGUUAAUCUCGGUGCAACAUUGGAACUGAGAACACGGUCCAACUCUACCGGGAGGCAGCAGGUAGGGAUCUUCCACCAAUGACGAAAGGUCUGAAUGAGCAAUCGCGCGUGAGUGAAGAAGGUUUCGGGCUCGUAAAACUCUGUUGUUAAAGAAAGAAACAUAUCUGAGAGUAACUGUUCAGGUAUGACGGUAUUUAAACCAGAAAGCCCACGGGCUAAACUACGUGCCAGCAGCCGCGGUAAUACGUAGGUGGCAAGCGUUGUCCCGGAUUUAUUGGGCGUAAAGCGAGCGCAGGGCGGUUUUUUAAGUCUGAUGUGAAAGCCUUUCGGCUCAACCGAAGAAGUGCAUCGGAAACUGGGAAACUUGAGUGCAGAAGAGGACAGUGGAACUCCAUGUGUAGCGGUGAAAUGCGUAGAUAUAUGGAAGAACACCAGUGGCGAAGGCGGCUGUCUGGUCUGUAACUGACGCUGAGGCUCGAAAGUAUGGGUAGCAAACAGGAUUAGAUACCCUGGUAGUCCAUACCGUAAACGAUGAAUGCUAAGUGUUGGAGGGUUUCCGCCCUUCAGUGCUGCAGCUAACGCAUUAAGCAUUCCGCCUGGGGAGUACGGCCGCAAGGCUGAAACUCAAAGGAAUUGACGGGGGCCCGCACAAGCGGUGGAGCAUGUGGUUUAAUUCGAAGCUACGCGAAGAACCUUACCAGGUCUUGACAUACUAUGCAAAUCUAAGAGAUUAGACGUUCCCUUCGGGGACAUGGAUACAGGUGGUGCAUGGUUGUCGUCAGCUCGUGUCGUGAGAUGUUGGGUUAAGUCCCGCAACGAGCGCAACCCUUAUUAUCAGUUGCCAGCAUUAAGUUGGGCACUCUGGUGAGACUGCCGGUGACAAACCGGAGGAAGGUGGGGAUGACGUCAAAUCAUCAUGCCCCUUAUGACCUGGGCUACACACGUGCUACAAUGGAUGGUACAACGAGUUGCGAACUCGCGAGAGUAAGCUAAUCUCUUAAAGCCAUUCUCAGUUCGGAUUGUAGGCUGCAACUCGCCUACAUGAAGUCGGAAUCGCUAGUAAUCGCGGAUCAGCAUGCCGCGGUGAAUACGUUCCCGGGCCUUGUACACACCGCCCGUCACACCAUGAGAGUUUGUAACACCCAAAGUCGGUGGGGUAACCUUAGAACCAGCCGCUAAUAUCAGCA
rnacentral:rRNA from 1 species